AGUGAACGCUGGCGGCGUGCUUAACGCAUGCAAGUCGAACGAGAACGGAUUAUAGCUUGCUAUAAUUGUCAGCUAAGUGGCGCACGGGUGAGUAAUGUAUAGGUAAUAUGCCUCUUACUAAGGGAUAACAAAUGGAAACGUUUGCUAAUACCUUAUACUCCUUAUUAACAUAAGUUAAUAAGGGAAAGAUUUAUUGGUAAGAGAUUAGCCUGUAUUGUAUCAGUUAGUUGGUGGGGUAAUGGCUUACCAAGACUAUGACACAUAACUGGUCUGAGAGGAUGAUCAGUCACACUGGAACUGAGACACGGUCCAGACUCCUACGGGAGGCAGCAGUGGGGAAUAUUACACAAUGGACGAAAGUCUGAUGCAGCAACGCCGCGUGGAGGAUGACACAUUUCGGUGCGUAAACUCCUUUUAUAUGAGAAGAUAAUGACGGUAUUAUAUGAAUAAGCACCGGCUAACUCCGUGCCAGCCGCCGCCGCGG
rnacentral:rRNA from 1 species